rnacentral:rRNA from 1 species
UACGGGAGGCAGCAGGGGGAAUAUUGCACAAUGGGCGAAAGCCUGAUGCAGCUAUGCCGCGUGUAUGAAGAAGGCCUUAGGGUUGUAAAGUACUUUCAUCGGGGAGGAAAAAACAAAACUAAUAAUUUUAUUUCUUGACGUUACCCGAAAAAGAAGCACCGGCUAACUCCGUGCCAGCAGCCGCGGUAAUACGGAGGGUGCUAGCGUUAAUCAGAAUUACUGGGCGUAAAGAGCACGUAGGUGGUUUUUUUAAAGUCAGAUGUGAAAUCCCUGGGCUUAACCUGGAACUGCAUUUUGAAACUGAAAUACUAGAGUAUCGUAGAGGGAGGUAGAAUUCUAGGUGUAGCGGUGAAAUGCGUAGAUAUCUGGAGGAAUACCUGUGGCGAAAGCGGCCUCCUAAACGAAUACUGACACUGAGGGUGCGAAAGCGUGGGGAGCAAACAGGGAUUAGAUACCCGU